rnacentral:rRNA from 1 species
CCCUUAGAUGUCCUGGGCCGCACGCGCGCUACACUGAACGGAUCAGCGCGUUUUCCCUUCCCGAGAGGGACGGGUAACCUGCUGAACCCCGUUCGUGGUAGGGAUCGGGGCUUGCAAUUAUUCCCCGUGAACCAGGAAUGCCCAGUAAGUGCAAGUCAUAAGCUUGCGUUGAUUACGUCCCUGCCCUUUGUACACACCGCCCGUCGCUACUACCGAUUGAACGGUUUAGUGAGGGCAUCGGACUGGUCUCGGCCCGCCCUUCACCGGUGCGGCGCCGCCGGCCGGGAAGACGCUCGAACUUGAUCGUUUAGAGGAAGUAAAAGUCGUAACA